CGUGGAGACAGGUGGUGCAUGGCUGUCGUCAGCUCGUGUCGUGAGAUGUUGGGUUAAGUCCCGCAACGAGCGCAACCCUCACCCCUAGUUGCCACCGGGUAAAGCCGAGCACUCGAGGGGAACUGCCAGCGUCAAGCUGGAGGAAGGCGGGGAUGACGUCGAGUCAUCAUGCCCCUUACGCCCUGGGCUACACACGUGCUACAAUGGCCGGUACAAAGGAACGCGAGACUGCAAGGUGGAGCUAAUCCCAAAAAACUGGUCUAAGUUCAGAUUGCAGUCUGCAACUCGACUGCAUGAAGGAGGAAUCGCUAGUAAUCGCGCAUCAGCACGGCGCGGUGAAUACGUUCCCGGGCCUUGUACACACCGCCCGUCACACCACGAAAGCUGUCUGUACUCGAAGUCGCUGAG
rnacentral:rRNA from 1 species